rnacentral:lncRNA from 1 species
CCUCGUUUACCAAAAAGAAAAAGCAAAGAGAAAACAAAAGAUUCGUCCUUCUUCUUCAGCUGCUCUGGUAGCAUCUCCCACCUCCUCUUCUUCAUCAACUAUUAAGACCGACUCCCAUUCAGAUCCUUGAAAAUUUGGGCAUGGAACUAUAGUUAUCUACUUAAGGUUGCGAGUGAGCAAAAUUUGAUUUGUGAAAUCGUCCAUUUCAAAGUGUCUUUUUGAAGAAACUAGUUGGGACUUUCAUCCAACAGCUUGCCGGCAGAAAGAAAAUUCGCAGCUUUCGGUAUCUUACAAUACACAACUCUGGUGUGUGCGAGGUACCUUCAAGCUCCCCUCUUGUGAAAACAUACAUCUGCUUUAGCUUUCAAUUGAAAUCUUCAUGGCCGAUGAGUCAAAUGCAUUGACUUUGGAUCCUCUUGCUUUCUUAUCUUUAUUUUUCUUUUUAAUAUUUUCCUAUUAAAACUAAGAUCUAAAGUCUUUAAAUUCAUGGAAAUUAUUUUGUAAGACUUCAAUAUUUUUUUUUUUUUUUCAGAAACGUGAACUAAAUCCAUUUCAUGAAGAAAGAUCUAGUCCUUUUCGUUUUUUUCUUCUUAAAAUAAAUAUGAGUCAUUAUUAUUAAUAAUUAAUUUUUUUUAAAUUGGUAGAAUAUAUUUUUGCAUAAAGUUUUAAUAAGAAUUUCUUUUAGGAUUACACAUAAUGUGUCGUUAGCUUUUUACAUACCAAAUUUAUGAUAAUAUUUAUGUACGGAUAGUUUUCUAUGUAUUUAAAUAAUAAUUACAUAACAUACCAAAACAAAUUUGUACACAAAUUUGAAUUACAUAGCAUGCCAAUAACGUACCAAAUUAUUGACACGUUACAUUUAGUAAAUAAAAGCAUUGAUAUAUAUAUAUAUAUAUAUAUAUGUAAUAUCGUUUAGAAUUUUAAAGUACGUUGGUACUUUUAAAAUAUCACGUUUGAUUUUUUUUUGUUUUUUGCAACCACAGUUUAACUUUAUUUUAUUUUAUAAACAAUUCAACUUUUAUUGUUUUUAUAGAACUUUUAUUGUUUUUUAUUCUUUUAAAAUAUAUUGAAAUAAAAAGAUAUAAAUUAACAAUAUAUUGAAAAAAAAUUAGAUAUUUGGUCUAAGAAAUUAAAAAACCGCGCAUCUAGAUCAAAAAGAUAUAAAUUAACAUUAUUUGUUUGUUUUUUAUUCUUACUAGACAACAAUUUAUCUUUUUUUUUGGCCUUCUGAGUGCUACUCGAGACUCCAACUUAUUAGAUUUUCCAUCAAUUUUUGAGAUCCCAAAUGGCGAGCCAAUGUUUCAACGCGUAUUCUAUUCACAUUUUACAACUAAUAAGAAUUUGCCUUGUGACUUGGUAACCAAUAACUGGUGUCUCUUGUACUAUUAUUAUGUUUAUCAUAUGAUUCAUAUGAUGCAUCUCAGUGUAAAAUCCGAUAUGUUUGGUAGCUGGAGAAUAUAUUCUCAAUUUGCAUUCCAAUUUGUAUAUAAUAACUCUUCUUCAUGCAUUCACUGCUACAGAUAGACUCUAUUCAAUAGAUGCAAUGAGCACCGAGCAGCAGAAUCCUUCUUCGUCUUCUAACCGGUGCACAUAUGAUGCAUUCUUGAGUUUCAGAGGCGCAGAUACACGCAAGGGCUUUACAGAUCACCUCUACAAUGCUUUGAAGUUAGCAGGAAUCCACACUUUUAGGGAUGAUGAUGAAAUUGAGAGAGGAGAAAACAUUGCACAGGAGCUACAGACAGCAAUACAAGAGUCACAAGUAUCAAUCAUUGUUUUCUCCAAGGACUACGCCUCUUCCACGUGGUGCCUGAAUGAACUUGCUAUCAUCAUGGAACGUAAAAGAACAGAUGGACACAUGGUUAUCCCAGUUUUCUAUUAUGUGGAACCAUCAGAUGUCAGGAAGCAGACGGGCAGUUUUGCAGAAUCAUUUACUAGACAUCAAGAACAAUUCAAGGACGAGAUAGACAAGGUGGAGGAGUGGAGGCGAGCUCUUAGAGAUGUUGCAGACUUGGGAGGGAUGGUUUUAAAAGACCGGUAAUUUUUCAUUCUCUCCUAUAUUCAGUCAAGUAGAUCAGAUGCUAGUCUCAAGCUUGUGAAAAUUUUAGUUUUUUUUUUUUUGAAAAAAUAAAUAAAUAACUUGCUUGUGUCUUUUCUUUUGGUCUGAAAAUAAAGAAAUUACUGUGCCUCAUAUAUUUUGAUAUCAAUAACAUAUAGGUAUGAGUGGCAGUUUAUCCAAGAAAUUGUUGAAGUGAUUGGAAAUGAACUGGACUACAUGACGAAUAGGAGAUUAAGAGUUGAUCCCCAUGUGAUUGGACGAGGUUACUAUGUGGAAAGCCUAAACAUGUGGCUGGAAGAUGGAUCAAAUGAUGUUGGAGUAGCUGUCAUCCAUGGAAUGGGUGGAAUAGGCAAGACCACCAUUGCUAAAAUUGCUUAUAACCAGAACUUCAAUAAAUUUCAAGCUAGCAGCUUUCUUUCAGAUAUUAGGGAAACUUCCAAACAAGCCAAUGGUUUUGUUCACUUGCAAAUGAAGCUUCUUUCAGAUAUCCAAAGGGGGAAAAUGGAAAAAAUAUACAGCCUUGAUGAAGGUAUAGUAAAGAUCAAACGGGUUGUACGUUGCAAAAGAGUUCUUAUUGUUCUUGAUGAUGUGGAGAACUUGGAACAGUUCACUGCAAUUCUUGGAAUGCGAGACUGGUUCCAUCCUGGAAGUAAAAUUAUCAUAACAACUAGACAUGAGUUAAAGGCUCAUGAAGUUUGUGUAAGGUUUAAGGUUGAAGGAUUACAUGCGCAUCAAUCUCUUACACUUUUCAGUUGGCAUGCCUUCGGACAAUCCCAUCCUCAGGAAGGUUACAUGGAGCAUUCAAGACACCUAGUAAAAUGUUGUGGAGGGGUUCCAUUAGCUCUUCAAGUUCUGGGAUCUUCUCUAUUUGGAAAAACAGCAAAUGUAUGGGAAAAUGUAGUACGCAAGUUAAAGGAAAAUGCAGUACCCACCUUAGACGUGAUUACUGAGGGAAAAAUUCAAAAGAUUCUUUGCAUAAGUUUUGAUUCUUUACAAGAUCAUGAUAAAUGUUUAUUCCUCCAUAUAGCCUGUUUCUUCAUAGGAAAAGACAAGGAUUUUGCAACUACAAUCCUUGAUGAAUGUGAUUUUGCGACAGAAGUUGGACUUCAACACCUAGUUGAUAGAUGCCUUGUGGAAAUUAAUGCCCGCAACAAGUUAACCAUGCAUCAAUUGCUUGAAAACAUGGGAAGGGCAAUAAUUCACAAUGAAUCACCUGAGGACCCUGGAAAACGCACUAGACUGUGGCAUAAAAAAGAAGCAAGUGACGUUUUGAGAAAUUUAACGGUAAGAAACAUGAUCUUUAACUGUAUUUAUUUGCAUUGGUGUUCUACAUGUGACUAGUAACUUAUCCAAUGCUCUUAUUUGGUGGCAGGGUAAGAGAAGUAUUAAGGGCCUCAUGCUCCACUGUCCCUCAACAUUUGAAACAAAGGCAUUUACAAAGAUGCUCAAUCUUGAACUACUUCUGCUUGAUAAUGUAAAGUUGAGUGGAAGCUAUGAAGAUUUUCCAAAAAAAUUGAUAUGGCUGUCUUGGCGAGGAUUCUCUUUAAAAUCAAUACCAGCCAAUUUUUGUAUGGAAAAUCUAGUUGUUCUCGACUUACGGAAGAGCAGUCUGCAACAUGUUUGGAACGGAACCAAGGUAUCUUCUAAUCUCUCUCGCUCUCUCUCUCUCUCAAUACACACAACAAAAAUAAAUUUCAGUGAAAGUAAACUGUGUAUUCAUAGCAACUAAUGACUUCUACUUGAUACAGAAUCUUACAAGAUUGAAAAUUCUUAAUCUCAGUCAUUCACAUGGCCUUAGGACAACAUCUGACUUGUCCGGACUCCCUAACCUUGAGAAACUAAUUCUCAAGGAUUGCAUUAAUUUGGUUGAUGUUGAUGAAUCCAUUGGAAACUUGGGGAAACUUGUUUUCUUGAAUCUAAAAGACUGCAAAAGUCUUAUGAAGCUUCCAAAAAGAAUGAAAAUGUUGAGGUCUCUUGAGGAACUUAUUCUUACUGGUUGCUCAAAGCUUGGUCCUCAUGACAGUGCCACGGUUAUUGAUUUACUCGCUACAUCUAGGGAUAUGAAUAAACUUAGACUGUUAUCAACUAUAUCAUGGACACCUAUCAGGUAUUGGUGGAUGUGGGCAUGGCCGAGAAAGACUCUUCAAUCAACCAGUUUCUCACUGGCAAGUUUGCCACGUUGUUUGGGAAGCUUAAGUCUGUCUUACUGCAACGUGUCAGAGGUUCCCAAUGAUCUGUGUACACUAUCUUUGUUGAAGCAUUUGAAUCUAACUGGUAACCCAAUUUUGCCUACCACAAAAAAUGAAGAGUCUUAUUAUGCUCGAGACUCUUUUGUUAGAUAAUUGCACAAACCUCGAAAUUCUUCCAGAGCUCCCACCAAGGUUGAAGAGGUUAGAAGCAAAGUAUUGUACUUCAUUGAAAAGAUUAACAAAUUUACCAAACUUGUUCAGAUCAUUGGAAUCACUUUUUUGGGGUUGUGAGCAUUUAGUUGAAGUUGAAAGCUUGUUGAAUAUAAAACCGGUGAGAAGCGCUGACAUAGAAAUGACAAGAUAUAUGGGCCUGUUCAAUUUGAAAUCCAUAGCAAGCACUGAUGUCGAAAUGAUGAACUACUUGACCGGUACAAGCAGGAAGGCUCCUGUCCAGGUCUUUCUCUGUCUCCUCUCUCAUGUAUAGUUGUUCUAAUUAUUAUAUCUAUGAACUAAUUUGGCCCAACUGUUUGAAUAGUUAAAUUUGAAUUGUAGAUUCUUGAUGAAACAGGUACUCUAUGAAUGUGGCAUAUAUAGCAUUUUCUUUCAUGGAAGCAAGAUUCCAGAUGGAUUUGGCUUCACAAUAAUAUAUAGAUCUGUGCUGUCAGUUAUUGUACCUUCACAUCCCUUUCUAAAAAUCCGAGGCUUGAAUUCAUGUGUGUUAUAUGCAAGAGAACCAGGCUUGGAAUAUCGUCUUACUGUUCAGCAUUUGAUUAAAGUCAGUAAUCAGACCAAGGGUCUUAUGUGGACCUAUUCCCCACUCACAGUAGGUUUGCCUACUGAGAAGGAAGAUAUGUUAUGGCUAAGCCAUUUUCGAUUUGCAAACAACGAAUUGGAGUAUGGGGACGAAUUACGUGUUUCGGUUGAGAUGCAUGAAUUUGUCCGUGUAAAGGAAUUCGGAAUUCAGCUUGUGUACGAGCCGGAAAGACCUCCUUCUAGCCAGAAUAAUGUUGUUGCUGGAGAUGUGUCACUGUCAGCAUCAGAGUACCAAAUGUGGACAGGAAAAUACUUUCUCAGUAAUCAUGGGCACUGUACUCAUCAAGCUCAAUUCCGAAGGAGACAGGAGAAUCCAGCACAUAUUGAGUUUUCAUUUGGGCCAGAGCUUCUAUUUCAUAAAUUAUUCAAGGCCCGAGGACCAUUCGAAACUGUUGUGAAACUUAGAGCAUAUCCAGCAGAUUCCCCAUCUGCUUCUCCUUACCCAUUUUGGCUAAAAUAAAGAGAAACCUCCUCAGUUCUUUAUCCAGCAUCAUUCAUUUAUGGUUGGAAAGAAACAUCAGCAUCAGUUUUCUUGGUGAGUAUCGUCCCUUUAUUCUUUCUUGUUAUCUCUUUCUGAAUAUAUACUCAUGGCUUUGUUGGAUUUGUUGCUCUUUGCUUAUUGUCUUUGAUUUGUUAAUUGAAUGAAUAUAUUAAACAAAAAGCGGGGAAAGCUCUAUGAACUCAGAACAACAAGGUCAUAAGACCAAUCAAGGAAACAAAACCGGAACAGUCCUCAUGAGUUAGCAGAUGAGGUUUGAAAACCCCUAUAGAGCAAAACCAACUUCAGCGUAACAGCAGUGGGACAACAUGUAUUUCUGAAAAUCCUGCAAUUAGUUUCCCUCCAAAGCCUACUCCUUACAAACGAAUCUUGAAUUCCUGCGACGUGGUAUUUGGGGUAACUUCUAUUUGGACACAUUUAUAUGAGCAAACUUUUCUUAUUCUAUUAUUAUGCAUUCGGAUUAGAAAGCGCGCGAUCAAUAAGAUAUUGAAAACAUGUAUUUCCUGAUACAUUAUAUAAAAUUAAUAAUUCGCUAAAUUCAUAAGAUAAUACAUUAUAUAAAAUUCAUAUAGAUUCCACAUAAUAUGUAAAUUAAUAAUUUCCUGAUACAUGUGCUUAUGAUUCGACAAUGAGGCCUUCCUAAAAUAUGACUCAAUCAUUGUUUGUUUUUUCUUUUCUUGAAAUUGAUACCUUGGAUCUUAUAUUUUUCUUAACAUGAUAAGAAGUUAUAAUGUGGUUUUUUCAUACUUCAACAAAAAAUUAUUCAAUGUCAUCGCCGCUUUGAGAACUUCUUUUCGGGAAACGGGCUCCAUAGUAGAACCAUGUACAAUCUAUUUUUAGAAAAUAAGUAGAUUCAAAAUUUUACUUGGUUAAACAAUAAAAUCGUUAGUUCGUAAAAUGAGAAACUAAAUUAAUAACAUAUUAAUUUAUCAAUUAUUUAAUAUUUUGCUAAAAAAUUUGGUCUCAAGGUUAUUAAUUUAUAGAGGUCUAAUGGAUUUAGAUAGAGGACACUAGGUAGGUUUCCCUUUAAAGAGUCUGAUAUGGUUGCCUUAAGUCUCACUUGCAUUUACUACGGUAUCCCCAAUCAAUCAUGCACUACCAUGCUUGGAUAAACUAUAGUAAUGUCCUUGCAUGGCAUGCAUGAUUGACUCGAGAUACCGUCAUAAUGUCAUCUUUGUUGUAGGUAAGUUUUUCUCCCCGAAAUAUAUGUUCACCAAGGAAUUUACAUGUGAAAUGAAACUCUAAGAAAAGAAAUUUAAAAAUGAGAAAGUGAUCCACCUAAUCAUGUGUGUCGGUAUGUAAUUGGGCCACGCAAGGAUCAAUGAACAAAAAAUUUAAAUGUCACAAUACAAGCUAUAGUAAUUUGUUAACUGCAUUUGAUUUCAUAUUGUUUUAAGUUACGAGCAGUGAAGACAGGGAAUAAAAAUGGAAUGAUAAUCUUUGUUAGAUCAUAUUCUAAAACAAAUUUCCAACACUCUGAAUCUUGCAGCUUUUGAGCUGCUCUGUGUUUGAGCAAUUAGUAGAGACAAAAUUGGAAGAGAUCAUCCUGUAAUAUCUAGUUAAACAAAUCAAGGGAAAACAAUUUUACGCCGCCCUUACCUAGUUUACAAAAUUUGUCAACCUCUUCUCUUACAAAAUUUGUAUAAGCCUAACCUGCGCGCGCUAUAAAGUCCUAAUUCUAAUCUUGGGACAAUGUAAAAGGAGUGCAGCGGGAAGAAAUAUCCAUGACAUCACAGACCACUCGGGCACAUGACUUUUUUGGAACUACAAGACAAUAAGAUGUAAAACAUUUCAGAGCUAUGUGGCAGGUAUUGCACAGAGGGGAAACAAAAGCACAAGGCUCUCUAAGCAAACAAUAACAGAGAAGAAUCGUCGUAUACACAAUUGUUUUCUACCAAUAGCGAAUGACAUAGCAGACAACUAGAAGAGAGUAAUGAUUCUCAAGAUAUAGCUUAUUUACUUAUCCCUUAAGAUUAUUCACAAGAGCAUUCGAUUUUUGUUAGAAACGCUAUAUGGAGAUUACAAUAAUCAUGACAUUAUUGUGCGCCAUUGUGCUGAUCGUUAUGUUCCUGACAGGAACUAAUUACCUCUCUUUGAAACGGUGUCUUCCAAGACAGAAAAUCCUUAAUCUCAGUCACUCACAUGGCGUGAUGACAACCCCUAACUUGUCACAAGUCCCUAACCUUGAACAAUUGAUUCUCAAAUAUUGCUUAAAUUAGGUCGAGGUGGAUGACUCCAUUGGAUACCUAGAGAAACUUGUUUUCCUGAAUCUAAGACUGCAAAAUGUGAGUGCUGGAGAUGUGUCAGCAUCAAAGUAUCAAAUAUGGAAAGGCAAAUGCUUUGUGUGUAAUCACAGUCUAGACCAUACUUAUCAUCCUCAGUUCAUAUUUCAGAAAGAACCAGAAGAACCUGGCUCAUCUUGAUUCUUCAUACGAUCCAGAGGGCUGUUAUUUUAAUAAUCAUUACUUACUUAAGCACAUAGAGUUUCCUCAGGAGGACGAUGAAUACUGUUGUGUUUUGCCACCCGAAAGGGUAAGAUUUUACAAGAGAAUAAAAGAUAAAGAAGGCGAUGAUUAUCGACUGCGUCUAUUCAAAAGAAGUGUAGAUUUGGGCACUAUCCAGUUGCGGUGCUAAUCAUCGGGCGUUGAAGAAAAGAUCAUGGUUUGUUUUCUUUUGUGAGUCUUAUUUUCUGUUUCUCUUUGUAUAGAAUAUACUAUAUAUGCAUUUUGUUUGAAUAAUUGAAUCUUCUUAACUCGAUCUUUUCAAUAUUUUGUACAAAGGAUGCAAGGGUUCAAAAACACUAGAUGUAGAUUUCAUAUCUGAGCUCCAUAUUGGUUCUUAUCUGAGCUCCUUCAGCGGAUUAACAAUGUGGUCAGCGAAUAAAGGAGUUUAAUCCAACUUAACAGUUAACAAUCAGACGGGCAGAUCUUCCCGUUGUUUAUUUUUCCGUUUCUUCUUAAUUUUUUGUUUUUGCUCCAAUCUUUCUUUAUUUUUUUCUUCUUAUGUUUUUGCUCUUUCUUUAUCACAUAACCGUAGCUACUUUCUGGUUAAAUUCUAUUUUUCUUAUUUCUUAAAAAUAAAUUAAAAGCUACUUAUUAUUAGGGUUUAGUAAUAUUCAUCUUUACUUAUGUUGAUGCACAAAACCGGAAGGUCUUGGAACAACGUAAAUCCGACCGUGAAUCAUGCAAACGCCCAAGAACACAAAGAUGUAUCGUGGUUCACCCCAAUGUUUGGGCUACGUCCACACUGAUGUUGAUUGUAUUCCUCUGUAAUUGUAUGUAUGGAUUACAAAGUGUUGUUGUGUUUGUGAGGGUAUUGCCCUCUGUUGGGUUCACAGAGGAAGAGAGUUGAGAGAGUUUCUAUGUAUGUAGGAGGGUUGCUCUGAAUAUGAGAGUCUCUGUUUGGGGAUGUGAGGCCUCAGGAUUGUGAGGGUGAGGAGGCCCUUUUAUAGACUAAGGGCUCCUCCCCUUUUACAUAAAUCAUAGGCUCAAUGUCUGGAAGCCCAAGUAACGAGGCCCAAUAUAAUAUGGUACCAACAGUAGUCCCCUAAGUCUUCAGUCAAGAGAGUCUUUUGGCUGGAGACUUCAAAUCCAAUUCAUGUACGGGCCGAAGUGGCUAGAUGUCUUGAACCAGUACUCAACCCAAGGCAAUGCUCAACAUAAAGCAAUACUCGGCUAGAGGUAUCACACGUUACGAGACUACUCGGUUGGAGGCGAUGCUCGUUGCGAGGCUGCUCGGCUAGAGGCUAUGCUCGCGGCAAGGCGUUUGCUCGGCUGGAGGCGAUGCUCGUUGCGAGGCGGCUCGGCUAAAGGCUAUGCUCGCUACGAAGUGGCUCGGCUCGUGGUAUUCCUCAUUGCAAGUAUCUACUUUAUGUCGACAUGCACUCAGUAUGAGUUGAUUCUCAACAUGACUCGAGUCCGCUUGUCGGGUUCGCAUAUUGGGUCUAUAUGUAGGAUCCGCAGAUCGGGUCCGCAAGUCGGGUCUUUGAGUUGGGGCCAUACGUAGGGUCAUCGAGUUGGGGCUAUCUGUAGGGUAAUCGAGUUAGGUCCAGGCACAUAGGUGUCCCAAUAAGCAAAUGUCAGAGCAAGUGGGUGUCCGGUCAGACAAGAGAUCACCAUGAGCACGUGGCUCAUCAAUCUAUAAGUUGGUAGACUUCUUUAAUCAGCAACAAUGUUGAUCAGUGGAUCUAGUUGCUUAAUAAUUUCUGACAAUAAAUGACAGUAUAAGUAUGACCGUAUAAUAAGUAAAUCAAAUUGACAAAGUUUGUCAAGGCAAAAUAUUGCAUUAUGUGCCUUCUGUGAAUAAAUGAUUUAUUCAGUUUGUGUGAUAAAUCAUAUGUUGUAUAAAUCAACAAUAUAUUAAGCAUAUAAUAUAUAUAUACCAACGGUAAUUUUUUAAAGUGGCAGGUAACAUAGGGAUAUUAAAGGAGAGCAUCUUAUCUUUUUAAGGGGUUGGUGGCUUUCUUUCAGGCAGAUGGCAGACAGUAAUUAUAGGAUUAAUAAUAGAAUGAUGGCAGAUGGCAGACGGAAUAAAAACUUAUCUUUAGACAAUGGAGUGGGCAUCUUCUUUGGUGGUCGACAAAAGUCAUCGGUCAUGAUAAAGUUCUUAUCUUCUCUGUUCGUCCAUCAUUGCUCUAGCAGUGGAACUGUGGCCAACAUCUUUGAAAUCAUUACUUGUGUCCUUUCCAAACCUCUCUCAUUCUCGUCGCUUCUUUUCGCCAGCGCUCUGUAAAGAAACAAGGCUCCCAGCACGGCGGUGAAGAUCCAUCCGAGCAAGUGCUGAUCCGCCAUUACAGGUGAAGGCUGCUUCCAUUUCAUGGAGGUUUGGUUUGCUUCCAUGGCCGCUUCAGACUCUUCUUUUUCUGCGGUGUUCUAUGGAUAACAUCAAAGUUGAAUGAAUGGAUACAUGUGGGCUUUUGAUUACUUGAUGAGUUUUUUUUUUUCUGAUAGAAUAAAAAAAAAACAAGCAGCCAACUUCCACCAAUCCCCUCGCUUAGCAACAGGUGCAUAUGUUAGUGGCAGAGUCGGAAAGAGUGACAAUUCUGGUGGCGGACUCGAAUCGGCGCUCCCGACGAAUAUCAUCCUCGAUUUCUUGCUGGGCCCUCCGACGCUGGUUGAAUUUCUCGGCGUUGGCGUUGUUCCACAACGCGAAUCGAACCUCCGUUGGCGGGUGGUUCUGAGCCGCGUUGUGGGUGGGGCUCAAGUUCAAUGGUGGCGUAAAAAUUAGACAAGAAAUGGGCAAAUUCAGCGCCAUUUCUUGCUGGGUUCCUCAAAUUGAAGCCGAAAGCUUCAAACUUUUAGCAGAUAUGAGUCCUUUUGCUGGGUUCUGAAUGCAUAUCAGUUAAACGACGUCGCAGCAGCUGACAGUAUAGGCCUUUCAAAGUGAGAGUUUUGCAGGGAAGAAUUGAGAGAGAGAAAGAGGUGGCUCCGUGGGUUUUCUGGGAAAGCUUUGGGUUCUUGGGUUUCUGCAGAUUCACGGUGGAGGUUGUCAAGUUUUCACAGUGGUGAGAUGGAAAAAUGAAAGAGAACUGACAUAGCUUUUCGUGUCGUUUCCCACAGACGGAGCCAAAUGUUGAUGCACAAAACCGGAAGGUCUUGGAACAACGUAAAUCCGAUCGUGAAUCAUGCAAACGCCCAAGAACACAAAGAUGUAUCAUGGUUCACCCUAAUGUUUGGGAUACGUUCACACUGAUCUUGAUUGUAUUCCUUUGUAACUGUAUGUAUGGAUUACAAAGUGUUGUUGUGUUUGUGAGGGUAUUGCCCUCUGUUGGGUUCACAGAGGAAGAAAGUUGAGAGAGUUUAUGUGUUUGUAGAAGGGUUGCUCUGAAUAUGAGACUCUCUGUUUGGGGACGUGAGGCCUCAAGAUUGUGAGGGUGAGGAUACCCUUUUAUAGACUAAGGGCUCAUCCCCUUUUACAUAAAUCACGGGCUCAAUGUCUGGAAGCCCAAGUAACGAGGCUCAUAUAAUAUGGUACCAACAACUUAUAAGUGAAAGAUGUCUUAUAUUCGAUUCUCAUCACUUAGCCCUCUCGCUUCUUAAUGUAGAUAAUAUCGUAUAUUCAAAACAAACAAAAAAGUAAAUUAAAACACUAAAAUUAAAUAAUAAAAAAAUAAAUAGAAACCCAACCCUCGUCAACUUCCUCACCCCGGUGUGAGAUUUGUCCAAAUGUUAGAUAAUUUGGGUUGGGUGAGUUGGGUUGGGGUCGCUUCUCAUCUAUUCAUUCACCCUUCACAUCUAUGCAUCCACCCCAAUUUAGAUGAUUUGGGAUCUUGGAUUAGCAAUAUUUUUCAAAUAACAGAGAGAGAGAGAGAGAGAGAGAGAGAGAGAGAGAGAGAGAGAGAGAGAGAGAGAGAGAGAGAGAGAGAGAGAGAGAGCGAGAGAGAAUGGGAUGGUUAGAUUUUAGAAUUGCUAUGACAUAAACAUUAAUAAUGAUAAAAAUUAAUUAGAGUUAUGUGAGAGGACAUAUGUCAAGCUGAAUUUAUGUUGGUAGAAUACACUAGGGGUUAAGUUUGGGCAAUUUUGCUCACCACCAUUUUAUUUAUCAUUGUUAAAUAAGUUUAAAUUUUGAAAUUUGUAUCUAUCCAUAAUAGAAUAUCAGGUACACAUAACAAACAUACGAACAAACAUAUUAUAAAUUACGAAUAUUAUUUGAUUAACGAAAAAACAAAGAAAUAGGAUUGCCAAGAUGGCUACACUUAAAGACUACAUUUUAAUCAACUUAUUAUCAUACUAAAUUAUAAGUUAUAUGUAUAGAGAACAAAACCUAAGAAACCCUAAUUUGAAUGAGCUAAGCCCAAAUCUUAAAUUAACAAGCAAACCCAAAUAAUUAAGUAACUAAUUUUCCAACACCCCCGUCAAACUCAUGGUGGUACACGACAUGAGUUUACCAACAAGAAAAUGUCAAUGUAGGCUUCACUAGGUGGACAAGCAGGCAAACAAGCUUUGCUAGGCUGGACUUGACUUGACUUGUGAAUGGGCAAACUGAUUAUGUUUCAGAAAUGCAUGAGGGUAUGGAAAGAAAGCAUAUGAGUGCUCCUCAUCACUAAACAAACGAGAUUUUCAUAUCCCAAUUGCAGCAAUGGACGGACAAAAAGAAUACUAUCACUCAAGUGAUCACAAGUCCAAACAGUCGCAAAAUUCCCAUACAGGCCAACAACUCGUGUGGGCCUCAAAGACUUCAAACAAAAUCAAACAGCCCAUCUCUUUUUGCCCUUUCCCCGUGUGGGCCGAAAUCUCAACUAAAUUCGUGGGCCUCAAACAUACCGCCACUUUUUCUCCUUUUUCUUUUCCUUUUUCCCUCUUUUUCUUUUUCUUUUUUACAGAUCUCUAUAAUUGUUGCCCCAACACGACAAUUUUGUUAAUUCUUAUUAAUGAAGAGGAUUUUUCAAUCUUUCUUUGUUUCGUGCAGAUUGAAUUUGCCUGUGUCUGAACCGAAUCAUUUCUUUUUUAAACAACUGGUGUCGGGGGAGGGGGCCUCUGCAGGCUUUUAUCAACUUUGAGUUACAAGUCCAUUGAAAAUUAAUAAUUGAUUUGUCUCUUUAAGGAAGAACGGCCAUAGAAAAUUAAUAACUGAAUUAUCUUUUAAUUUAAUUAUUAUAAUAACUGAUUUGUCUUUUUUUAUUUUUUUUAAAUGAUAUUGCAAGAGUAGAAUUUGAGCUAAGUCACACGUCAUAAUUUCACACCGAACGAAAAUCGAAUCUAAAACCUUCUUUUUUUAUAAGUGGAGAAAUUUAUGAUUGAAUCUUUAGAUUUUGCAUUAUAGUCGCUCUAUAGUGACUCUUUUGUGACUAUAAAAAAUGAUUACUCAAUUUUCGUGGAAAACGCGAAUUAUACACGUACGUACCUUGAGUACUUUUUGGCAAAGCCAUAUAUAAUUGUCACCCUCAUUUACCCAAAAAAUAAAGAAAAACAAAAGAAAAGAGAAAACAAAAGACUAGCCCUUCUUCUUGAGCUUCUCUGGUAGCAUGAUCAUCUCCCACAUCCUCUUCUUCAUCAACUCUUAAGACCGACGCCCAUUCAGAUCCUUGGAAGUUUGAGCAUGGUGGAGAGGAACUAUAGUUAUCAACUUGAGUUUGCGAGUUAGCGAAAUUCGAUUUGUGAAAUCGUCCAUUUCAAAGUGUCUUUUUGAAGAAACUAGUUGGGACUUUCAUCCAACAGCUUAUCGGCUGAAAGAAAACUCGCAGCUUUCGGCAUCUUACAAUACACAACUCUGGUGUGUGCGAGGUACCUUCAAGCUCCCCUCUUGUGAAAACAUACAUCUGCUUGUAUUAUUAGCUUUCAAUUGAAAUCUUCAUGGCCGAUGAAUCAAUGCAUUGGCUUUGGCUCCUCUUGCUUUCUUAUCUUUAUUUUUCUUUUUAAUAUUGUCCUAUGAAAUUUGUUUUGAGUCCCUAACUCACACUUAAAGCACCGCCGUUACACUGAAAAUUUUCUCUAAGCUAGUGGGUCAUUCUAUUUUUUUUAUGAAAAAAAAUCAUAAACUUAUCCAAUAAACUCCACAUAUCAUCCCUUAUUGACAUAGUUAGAUUCAAGUGCUACAUUUUAUAAUUACACAUUAGUUGGUUUUUAGUUUUUUAUUCAAGUUCUUUGAAUUUUGAUUAAACGCUUUAACUUUACAUGUGUUUUUUUCUUAAUUUUAACUCAAUAUGUUAUAUAAAUUUAAAGAAUAUAAAUAUGAGUCUCUAAAUUCAUGGAAAUUGUUUUGCAAGACUUUAAUUAUUUUUUUUUCAGAAACGUGAACUAAAUCCAUUCAUGAAAAAAGAUCCAGUCCUUUUCUUUUUUUUCUUCUCAAAAUAAAUAUGAGUCAUUAUUUUAAUAGUUAAUUUAUUAAAAAUUGAUAAAAUAUAUUUUUGUAUAAAGUUUUAAUAUGAAUUUCUUUUAGGGUUGUCAUUAGCUUUUUACGUACCAACGCCUUCAAACUUAAAGCCACAGCCCACUCCCAGUCCAAAUCCAUAAACCCAGCCACUUUAAUUGUUUUCAGAAGAGUGGCAGUUUCGUAAAUAAAGUGAAAUGCAGCAAAAGUCACUGUAGCUUAUGAAUAAUGCUAAGGAAAUUUUAUUUGAACACAUCUAACCUCUUUCUAUACCAAACUUACUCUCUUCACCCAUAUUGUUUUUUAUUAAAGAAUUAAUAUCUCUUUAAACCCAAAUUUAUUACCUAAACUACCCUUUCAAACCCAAUUCAAAAUGUAAAUUAUCUUUUCACCAAUUUUCUUUAUAAAAUAACAUCUCUAAUUGAAUGUUGUUUUUUCUUCAAAGAGGCAUCCUUUGCCCCUAUAAUUGCAUUUGCCGUAUAGGACUAGCAUUUCCAUGGCUGUUUUUUUUUUCCUUCUGCUACCACAACACAUUCAUGGACUUGGGAUCCAAGAGAUCAUUCCAUAGACUUGAAUUUGCCAAGAGAAUGCUAUGCAACCUUCAGUUCAGUCAUUUUUAAAUCGAGCAUUUUCAUGUACUUUUUAAGAAACUUUGAAGUGACAUAGGGAUGGGUGUUUUGCUGCUAUGUUAAUAAACAAAUAAACAAAUUGGAGCUAUUUUGAAUAAAAAAAUGUGCAAGACAUGCCACCGGCUAGUUCGUGGUUAAGGUUGAGCAAUCUUUAUUUGUACCAAGAACCAAGUUUUAUGUUUUUGCAGUACUAAUAAAAAAUCCUUGCACUGGUGUUUUGGGGCGCAUAUAGACGACAUAGAGAAACAAAUACAAUAUAAUAUAAAAGGUAUGAAAUUUAAUCCAAGGAAGAAGCAAACAAACAAAAUAUCCAUAAAUCGAGUCAUACCUUAGUUGAAGGAUUAAAAACUUCAAAAUCACCAUCCAUCAAUAGAAAAGCUUGUUUUUCUCUAUCAGAACUAUUAGGGUUUUAGUUGGAAUGAACAUAGGAUAAACUAAGAGUGAUGCUAGAGUUUAGUUAUAGUAUGUGGGUCUAUUGAUAAAUUUGAUUUUUAUUAUUAAUUUCAUUUUGUACUUAAUAGUAAUUAUGCAAUAGGGUAAAAUAGACAAUUAAUAUUUAAAAUUUAAGUUGGAUGUAGAAAGAUGUUAGAUGGGUUUAAAUAAAAUUUCCCUAGAGCCAAUUCUUCCCCAAUUUAGACUAUACUAAUAUGAAAAAUUCCAUCUCCAAUCAGACUUCAUUCUUAAUACAAGUUAGCAUACUUACUAGAAACACCAAUUUUUUAUUUAGUAUUAUUAUUUUUUUCUGGGUAAUACUAGAGACAUCAACUUAUUAGUUUUUGCAUCAAUUUUUUUAAAUCCCAAAUUUCGUGGCAAUGUUUCAACGCAUUUUCUGUUCACAUUUUACAACAAAUAAGAAUUUGCAUUGUGACUUGUUAACAAUUAACUGGUGUCUCUUGCACUAUUAUUAUGUUUAUCAUUUCUUACAUACUUCCAAAAUUAGACAUGUAAUAUGAUUUGCAUCUCAGUGUUAAAUCAGAUGUGUUUGGCAGCUGGAGAAUAUAUUCUCAAUUUGCAUUCCAAUUUGUAUAUAAUUACUUUUGUUCAUGCAUGCACUGCAACAGAUGGACACUAUUCAAUAGCUACGAUGAGCACCGAGCAGCAGAAUGCUUCUUCGUCCUCUUACCGGUGCACAUAUGAUGCAUUCUUAAGUUUCAGAGGUGCAGAUACACGCAAGGGUUUUGCAGAUCACCUCUACAGUGCUUUGGAGUUGGCAGGAAUCCACACUUUUAGAGAUGAUGAUGAAAUUGAGGGAGGAGCAAACAUCGAACAGGAGCUACAGACAGCAAUACAAGAGUCACGAGUAUCAGUCAUUGUUUUUUCCACGGACUACGCCUCUUCCACGUGGUGCCUGAAUGAACUUGCUAUCAUCAUGGAACGUACAAAAACAGAUGGACACAAGGUUGUGCCAGUUUUCUAUGAUGUGGAACCAUCAGAUGUUAGGAAACAGACGGGCAGUUUUGCAGACUCAUUUACUAUACAUGAACAGCGCUUCAAGGACAAGAUAGACAAGGUGGAGGAGUGGAGACGAGCUCUUAGAGAAGUAACAGACCUGGGAGGGAUGGUUUUAGGAGAACGGUAAUUUGUCAUUCCCUCCCUAUAUUCAGUCAAGUAGAUCAGAUGCUAGUCUCAAGCUUGUGAAAGUUUUAGCUUUUCUUUUUUAAAUAAAAAAAUUAAAUAAAUAACUUGCUCGUGUUUUUUGUUUUCCUCUGAUAUAUUUUUAUAUCAAUAACAUAUAGGUACGAGUCGCACUUUAUCCAAGAUAUUGUUGAAGCUUUUGGAAAUAAACUGGACUACAUGAACAUGUGGAAUAGGAGAUUAAGAGUUGAUCCCUAUGUAAUUGGAAGAGAUUAUUAUGUGGAAAGCCUGAACACCUGGCUAGAAGAUGGAUCAAAUGAUGUUGGAGUAGCUGUCAUCCAUGGAAUGGGUGGAAUAGGCAAGACCACCAUUGCUAAAAUUGCUUAUAACCAGAACUUCUCUAAAUUUCAAGCUAGCAGCUUUCUAUCAGAUAUUAGGGAAACUUCCAAACAAGCCAAUGGUUUUGUUCACUUGCAGAGGAACCUUCUUUCCGAUAUCCAAAAGAGGAAAGUGAACAAUAUAUACAGCCAUGAUGAAGGUAUAGUAAAGAUCAAACGGGCUGUACGUUGCAAAAGAGUUCUUAUUGUUCUCGAUGAUGUUGAGAACUUGGAACAGUUCAAUGUGAUUCUUGGAAUGCGAGACUGGCUCCAUCCUGGAAGUAAAAUUAUCAUAACAACUAGACAUGAACAUUUGUUAAGGGCUGAAGUUUGUGUAAGGUUUAAGGUUGAAGGAUUACCUGAGCAUCAAUCACUUAAGCUUUUCAGUUGGCAUGCCUUUGGACAAACCCAUCCUCAAGAAGGUUACAUGGAGCUUUCAAGACCUGUAGUAGAACAUUGUGGAGGGGUUCCAUUAGCUCUUCAAGUUCUGGGAUCUUCUCUAUUUGGAAAAACAGUAGAUGUAUGGAAAAAUGCAUUUCACAACCUAGACGUGAUUACUGAGGGAAAAAUUCAAAAGAUUCUUGGCAUAAGUUUUCAUUCUUUACAAGAUCAUGAUAAACGUUUAUUCCUCCACAUAGCCUGUUUCUUCGUAGGGAAGGACAAGGAUUUUACAACUACAAUCCUUGACGAAUGUGAUUUUGCCACAGAGGUUGGACUUCAACAUCUGGUUGAUAGAUACCUUGUGGAAAUUAAUGUCCACAACAAGUUAAUCGUGCAUCAAUUACUUCAAGACAUGGGAAGGGCAAUAAUUCAUGAAGAAUCAUCUGAGGACCCUGGAAAGCGCACUAGACUGUGGCAUAAAGAUGCAUUUAACGUUUUGACAAAAUUAACGGUAAGAAACAUGAAUUUUAUGUGUACAUAUUUGCAAUGGUGUUCUGCAUGGUAACUUAUCCAAUGUUCUUAUUUGUUAGCAGGGUACGAGAACUAUCAAGGGCUUCAUGCUCCACUUUCUCCCAACAGAUUCAUCUCCGGUAAAUGAGGUAGGUUUCGAAACAAAGGCAUUCACAGAGAUGCUCAAUCUUGAACUACUUCUGCUUGAUAAUGUAAAGUUGAGUGGAAGCUAUGAAGAUUUUCCAAAAAAAUUAAUAUGGUUGUCUUGGAGAGGAUUGUCUUUAAAAUCAAUACCGGCCAAUUUUUGUUUGGAAAAUCUAGUUGCUCUAGACUUACGGAAGAGCAGUCUGCAACGUGUUUGGAAAGGAACCAGGGUAUGUUCUAAUCUCUCUCGCUCUCUCUCUCUCUCUCUCUCUCUCUCUCUCUCUCUCUCUCUUUCACUCAAUACACACAAAUAAAAAUAAAUUUCAGUGAAAUUAGACUCUGUAUUCAUAGCAACUAAUGACUUCUCUUUGAUACAGUUUCUUACAAGAUUGAAAAUUCUUAAUCUCAGUCAUUCACAUGGCCUUUGGACAACAUCUGACUUGUCCGGACUCCCUAACCUUGAGAAACUAAUUCUUAAGGAUUGCAUUAAUUUGGUUGAGGUUGAUGAAUCCAUUGGAAACUUGGGGAAACUUGUUUUCUUGAAUCUAAAAGACUGCAAAAGUCUUAUGAAGCUUCCAAAAAGAAUGAGCAUGAUGAGGUCUCUUGAGGAACUUAUUCUUACCGGUUGCUCAAAGCUUGUGCUUCAUGAUAGUGCCAUGGUUAUUUAUAUUCACACUACAUCAAGGGAUAUGAAUAAACUUAGACUGUUGUCAACUAUAUCAUGGACACCAAUCAGGUUUUGGUGGAUGUGGGCAUGGCCAAGAAAGACUCUUCAAUCAACCAGUUUCUCACUGGCAAGUUUACCACGUUGUUUGGGAAGCUUAAGUCUGUCUUACUGCAACGUGUCAGAGGUUCCCAAUGAUUUAUGUACACUAUCUUCCUUGAAAUAUUUGAAUCUAAUUGGUAACUCAAUUUUGUGCCUACCACAAAACAUGAAGAGUCUUAUUAUGCUCGAGACUCUUUUGUUAGAUAAAUCCAUAAACCUUGAAAUGCUUCCAGAGCUGCCCCCAAGGUUGAAGAGGUUGGAAACAAAAUAUUGUACAUCAUUGAAAAGAUUAACAAAUUUACCAUUGUUCAGAUCAUUAGAAUCACUGUUUUGGGGUUGCGAGCAAUUAGUUGAAAUUGAAAGCUUGUUGAAUAUAAAACCGUCGAGAAGCGCUGAUAUAGAAAUGAGAAGAUAUAUGGGCCCGUUCAAUUUGAAAUCCAUAACAAGCACUGAUGUUGAAAUGAUCAACUACUUGACCAGUACAACUAGGAAGGUUCCUGUCCAGGUCUUUCUCUCUGUCUCCUCUCUCAUGUAUAGUUGUUCUAAUUAUUAUAUCUAUGAACUAGUUGGGUCUAACUGUUUGAAUAAUUAAAUUUGAAUUGUGCAAUCUUGAUGAAGCAGGGAGUCUAUGAAUGUGGCGUAUAUAGCAUUUUCCUUCCUGGAAGCAAGAUUCCAGAUGGAUUUGGCUUCACAACAAUAUAUGGAUCAGCGCUGUCGGCUAUUGCAUCUUCACAUCCUAAUCUCAAAAUCCAAGCCUUGAAUGUAUGUGUUUUAUAUGCAAUAGAACCGGGCUUGGCAAUUGAUGACUAUCUUGUUAGUGCUCAGCAUUUGAUUAAAGUCAGUAAUCAGACCAAGGGUCUUAUGUGGACCUAUUCCCCAGUCACAGUAGGUUUUCCAACUGAGAAGGAAGAUAUGUUAUGGCUAAGCCAUUUUCAAAUUGGGAACAAUGAAUUGGAGUAUGGGGACCAAAUACGUGUUUCGGUGGAGAUGCAUGAUUUUUGGAUAAAGGAGUUCGGAAUCCAGCUUGUGUACGAGCAGGAAAGACCUCCUUCUAGCCAGAAUAAUGUUGUUGCUGGAGAUGUGUCAAUGUCAGCAUCAGAGUACCAAAUGUGGACAGGAAAAUACUUUAAUCAUAGGCACCGUACUCAUCAAACUCAAUUCCGAAAGAGACAGGAGAAUCCAGCACAUAUUGAAUUUUCGUUUGAGCCAAAGCAUCAGCUUCAUACUUAUUCAAGGCCCAAAGACCAUUGAAAAUAUUUUGAAACUUAGAGCAUGUCCAGCAGAUUCCCCAUCUACUUCUACUCACCUAUUUUGGAGAAAAUGAAGAGAAACCUCCCUCCUUAGUUCUUUUUCCAACAUCAUUCGUUCAUGGUUGGAAGGAAAGAUCAGCAUCAAUUAUCUUGGUGAGUGUCGUCUUUUUGUUCUUUCUUGUUAUAUCUUUCUGAAUAUAAACUCAUGGCUUUGUUGGAUUUGUUGCUCUUUGUUUAUUGCUUUGAUUUGUUAAUUGAAUGAAUAUAUUAAACAAAAGGAGGGGAAAGGCCUACGAACUCGUGUAGUUGAUGCAUGUAGUACUCAGUACUACUCUUUCAGACAAUAAUCCUAACUUUAAAUCCCACUUAACGUCAUAUAAUUUGGUGUCUGUAGUAUGUUUGGUGGUCUAGAUCACUCAUUUGAGAUAUACAUGUGAACCAAAAAGCUGUUUAACUUGAAAAAAGGGGAAAUUUAGCAUGCCCCUGAACUUUUAAAAUGUUGGGAGCAGCUCAGGUUUGAGUCCCAGCAAAGGCAUGCUUUUCUUAAUUUUUGCACGACUUACAGCUGGUGCGAGGGACCUCUGCGCGUUAACUAUGUGUCAGUCUGGGUCCAUUUAUUCCCUAGCCAUCAGUGUGCUGUCUAACUUUGUCUUUUAUAUUCACAAAAAAGCAUUGGCAGUCUUGACAGUGUCGAAACUGUUUACCGUGUUCAAACCGUGUGCAGGGCGUGUCAGCAUGUCAGAGUGUCUGACACUUUGAGGUUUGGGAGUGUCCGUGCAACCUAGGCUUCAAGAACGAGAUGGACAAGGUGGAGAAGUGGAGAAGAGCGCUUACUGAUGUUGCAAAUCUGGGAGGGAUGGUUCUAGAAGAUCGGUAAUUUCGUAAAACAUUUUCUUUAAUUUGAAAUUAUUAUCUAUAUAUGACCUUUUAUAACUUGUUUAUUAGGCACAUUAUUGUUAGCUUAUAGGGUAUGAGUGGCAGUUUAUCCAAGAUAUUGUUCAAGAGGUUGGAAGUAAGCUGGAUCGCGUGGCAGUAAAUGUUGCUCCCUAUGAUGUUGGAAUCGAUAUUUGUGUGCACGGAAUCAACAGAUGGUUAGAAGAUGAUUCGGGUGAUGCUGGUGCAGCGGUUAUCUAUGGGAUGGGUGGAAUUGGCAAAACCACCAUUGCCAAAGCUGCUAAUAAGACGAACCUUGCAAAAUUUUAAGGAAACGGCAGCUUUCUUGCAGAUAUUGGCUUGCAAAUAAAUCUUCUUUCCGAUAUCCAAAGGGUGAAAGUAAAGAAAAUAAGCAAACAUGAAGGACUAAUCAAGAUUAUGCAUGCUGUAGGUUGCAAUAGAGUUCUUAUAGUUCUUGAUGAUGUGAACCAUUUGGACCAAUUCAAUGCAAAUCUUGGAAUGUAUUGAAUUUUGAAUGUCUAUAUUUUGUAUUAUGUAAAACUAAGUACAAUGAAAGCUCAUAUAAAUGAGCGGAAGAAAGGAAAAGAAAACAGAAGCCGAAAGAAAGGGAGGACAAUCAGAAAACAUGGAGCAGAAAACAUGGAAAAGUAAAGGUGAGGAAAACAUGGAAAAGUAAGAAAACAUGGAGCAGAAAACAUGGAAAAGUAAAGGUGAGGAAAACAUGGAAAAGUAAAGGUCACCAUACACCCAUGCUUUCUUCCAAUACUCCCCCUCAAGCUGGAUCAAAGGGAUUAAUUGAUCCAAGCUUGAACAAAAGACGUUGAAAAUCAGCAGAGGGUAAUCCUUUUGUGAAAAUAUCCGCAAGUUGAUCAUGACUGCGCGUGUAGUGAGUGUCGAUCACCUUGGACUGAACUUGAUUUCUGACGUAGUGACAAUCAACUUCAAUAUGUUUAGUUCGCUCAUGGAAUACAGGAUUCGAUGCAAUGUGCAUCGCGGCCUGAUUAUCACAGUGUAGGGACAUGGGUUGUUGAUGAGGAAAACCUAAAGUCAACAGAAGGAUUUUGAGCCAAAUAAGUUCACAAGCAGUGGACGCCAUAGCACGAUACUCUGCCUCUGCACUAGAGCGUGCAACAACACUUUGUUUCUUGCUUUUCCAGGUAACUAGGUUGCCUCCCACAAACGUACAAAACCCAGUGGUAGACUUGUGAUCGAGAGAAUUGCCUGCCCAGUCAGCAUCGGUAUAGCCUGAGAUCUGAGUGUGACUAUUGUUGCGCAUAAGAAUUCCUCUACCAAUGGAACCCUUAAGAUAACGUAGCACACGAUGAACAAUCUUCAAAUGAUCCAUGCUUGGAGAGUGCAUAAACUGGCUAACAAUGCUGACAGCAUAUGAUAUAUCAGGACGUGUGAUAGUCAGAUAAAUGAGUUUGCCAACCAUUCUUUGAUAGUAACUUAAAUUGGGAACUGGAUCACCGUGAGUUUUUAGCUUCAAGUUGCUAUCCAAGGGGGUACGAGCAGGCUUGCAAUCUGUCAUUUUUGCUUCGUGAAGAAGAUCCAUGACAUACUUGCGUUGGUUGAGGAAGAAACCCUUGUGAGAGUGUGCCAUCUCGAUGCCCAGAAAGUAUUUGAGAGUGCCAAGAUCCUUGAUAGCAAACUUGUUGUUGAGAUACUGUUUAAGAGCAUUAAUCUCUGACAUAUUAUCACCUGUCACAAUUAGAUCAUCAACAUAAAUGAGCACAACUAGUUUACCCACUAAGCUGGAACGAACAAAUAGGGAAGAAUCCGCAAUACUUCGACAAAAACCAACCCUUUCCAGAACAUGACUGAGUUUGGCAUACCAUGCACGUGGACUUUGCUUGAGACCAUAAAUGGAUUUAUGGAGUUUGCACACCAUUUCUGGAUUGUUUGAUUGAGGAUGACCUGGGGGUAGCUUCAUGUAAACCUCUUCUUCAAGUUCACCAUGCAGGAAAGCAUUUUUAACAUCCAUUUGAAAGAGAGGCCAUGCAUUGUUAAUUGCAACCGACAACAAUACUCUAACAGUGUUCAUUUUUGCCACCGGAGCAAAUGUCUCUUUAUAAUCGACGCCAUAGGUUUGUGUAAAACCUCGAGCAACCAAGCGAGCCUUAUUCCUUUCGAUUGUGCCAUCUGAAUGAAACUUAGUUUUGUACACCCAACGACUCCCCACUGCCUUCUUUCCUUUUGGAAGUUUCACUAUAGUCCAUGUGUUAUUUUCAUGGAGGGCUUGAAGCUCCUCUGCCAUAGCAUUUCUCCACUCACUGUGAAGAUUGGCUUCUUGAAAACUUUGAGGUUCUCGAGCUUCAUUAAUGGCACUUAGGAAUGUAGCAAAAGAAGAUGAGACUUUGCUAUAAUCAAUAACAUCAGUCACGGCAUACCUGGCAGUGUAGGUCACAUAAUCAUGCAACUUGGAUGGAAGUUUCCUCUCUCGUGCAGGAUUGCGACGAACUAUAGGAGAUUGAACUACAGGUAUUUGAACAACAUCAUGGUUGGAAGGAUCACUGGAGGGUGCAGUGUGAAUCUCUGAUGAGGAAGGGUUUUCAUCUUCAAGAUGUUCCACCGAGUGAAGGUUAACAUCAUCCGGCACAUGAUCACUAGGAGUGCAUGUUGCAUCUUCUCCGUUUGGAUAUGGAAAAGGAAAUAAGUCCAUCAAAUGCUCCCCCUGUCUAGAGUAAUCCAGUGAUUGUGAGAAGUAAGGAACAUGUUCUUCAAAUUUAACAUCCCUUGAAACAACCAUUUUUCUAGUUGUUGAAUUAUAGCACUUGUAACCUUUUUGGGUAGAUGAAUAACCUAGAAAGACACAUUUGGCAGCCCUUGGGUCUAGCUUGUCACGAUUUUGAGUUUGAAUGUGAACAAAGCAUGUACACCCAAAGACUCUCAAAUGGGAAAAGUUGAUCUUUCUAUUUUUCAAGACCUCAUAAGGUGAUUUAAAAUUCAACACUUUACUAGGCAAUCUAUUGAUGAGAUAUGCCGCAGUAAGGACUCCUUGAGACCAAAACUUUUUAGGCACAUUCAUGUGAAACAUAAGAGCUCUAGUCUUCUUAAGUAGAUCUCUAUUCUUCCUCUCGGCCACCCCAUUUUGUUGAGGUGUUCCAACACAGCUUGUUUGGUGUAAUAUACCAUGCGUGCUCAAGUAGUGUGACAUGUUAUGAGACAUAUAUUCUGUGCCGUUAUCUGAUCGUAAAAUAUGAAUUUUUGAAGCAAAUUGGGUGGCCACAAGUCUAUGAAAAUCUUGAAAAACUUCCAUCACUUCACUUUUAAAUUUCAAAAGAUACAACCAAGUAAUCCUUGUGAAAUCAUCCACAAAAGUUACAAAAUAUUUGUAUCCAUCAAAAGACUCUAUAGUUGGUCCCCAAACAUCAGAAUGCACAAUUUCAAAAGGGUUACUAGCCCUAGACAAAGAGGAAGUAAAUGGUAAUCUAGUAAACUUAGAAAAAUGACAAACAUCACAAGGACUUGUAACUUUGCACAUAUUUGGGAACAAGGUGGAUAGAACUUUUUCAGAAGGAUGUGCUAGGCGUUGGUGCCAAAGUUGUUGUUCUUGAGCUAAGCUUGAAGUGACUUGAAAAACCUUGGGAACUUGAAUAUGCUUGGAAAGAUAGUAGAGACCAUUUAAGAAAAAUCCUUCACCAAUCAUCUUCUUGGUGACUACAUCCUGAAAGAUCACAUUUUUGGGAGAGAAAAUGGCAAGACAAUUUAAUGAGUUUGUGAUCUUGCUAACAGAUAAAAGUUGAAAAGGGAAUGAGGGAACAUAAAGAGCCUCAGACUCGACAUCACUUGAGAUCAAAUGUAUUUUUCCUUUUCCCACAACCAUAGCAUUUUUUCCAUUGGCAACUGACACUUGGGAUGGAAUAGAAAAAUUUUCAAAUUUAUGCAAGUUUGUAGAUUUGUUAGUCAUAUGAUCAGUGGCUCCAGAAUCUAUAAUCCAAUAAUCAUGCACAUUACCAAUGUUGAGAACAGUUGAGAAGGAGUGUAAGAUACCUAGGAUGUCCCUUUGUACCACGCCUUCAUUUCCAGCCAGGAAGCCAGCAAACUGUCCUAGUAGUGCAGUUUGAUUGUUGUCACACUGAUUUAGUGGUCCUUCACUAUCUCCAAGACCUUGUUUCUUGUGAAGAAACAUAGCAAACUCGUUGAUCAGUGCAGCUGGAUUAGUGGUGAACUUCAGUGCUCUAUUAGAAGAAGUUGUGGCAACAUGAUUUGCCUUGUAAGAAGGGUUGUACGAGCCUUUCGAGACACCUUUGUUAUCCCUAGGAAACUUUGGUUUUAACUCUGGAUGAAGAAUCCAGCAUCGAUCUCUUGAGUGCCUACCAGCAUCACAAUGGCUACAUUUUAAGCCAGUUUUCUUUCCUUUGUAGCCUCUCUCCUCACCAAGUUUUUGGUUAGAAAAGUAAGCCCUAGCUUCUGGUAUAUUUGCCUUCAUGUCCAUGGUCAUGACUUUCCUUCGAACCUCUUCUCUUUGAAUUGUGGCACACACACUUGAAAAAGAAGGCAGGUCGGGAUUCAUGAGGAUAUGACUUCGAAGAUCUUCGAAUUCAGGACUCAGACUUGCUAGGAGUUGGAAUAUUUUGUCUUCCUCGGCUCUUUUAGUUAGCACAGCAGCGUCGAUGGUGUGUGGUCGAUACACAUUCAGCUCGUUCCAUAUAGUGGUCAGCUUUCCAAGAUGUUGCACAAAUGGCUUUCCUUCCUGUUGCAAACCAGCAAUGUCCUUCUUUAACUGAAACACUCUAGCCGCAUUGUUCUGAUUUCCAUACAUUUCCUUGAGAUUUUUCCAAAGAGUCAUGGAGGAUUCAGCAUAGCUAAAAAUUUCUGCAAUCUUACGAUCCAUGGAAUUGAGUAGCCACGACAUGACCAACUGGUCUUUGCAUAGCCAAGCAUCAUACUCCGGUGAGGUAGUCUCAGGCAUUGGAAUAGCACCAUUAACAUAACUAAGCUUUGAUCGUCCUCCCAGAGCAAGAGAAACUGCUCUCUCCCAUGAAAGAUAGUUAAACUCAUUUAGCAAGACAGAACUAAGACGUUGAUUUGGGUUGAUAUCAAUAUCUGAGUGUGGUGAUGGUGGAGUAGCAUGAAAGCCGUCUCCUUCCAAAUUUACUAAGAUUUCUUCAGCCAUGAUUGAAGGACAAGAAGCUCACAAAUCCCUCAAGAGAACAUCACAGAGACAGGCCGGUUAGGGUCACUGCUCUGAUACCAUAUUGAAUUUUGAAUGUCUAUAUUUUGUAUUAUGUAAAACUAAGUACAAUGAAAGCUCAUAUAAAUGAGCGGAAGAAAGGAAAAGAAAACAGAAGCCGAAAGAAAGGGAGGACAAGCAGAAAACAUGGAGCAGAAAACAUGGAAAAGUAAAGGUGAGGAAAACAUGGAAAAGUAAGGAAACAUGGAGCAGAAAACAUGGAAAAGUAAAGGUGAGGAAAACAUGGAAAAGUAAAGGUCACCAUACACCCAUGCUUUCUUCCAAUAGAAUGCGAUAGUGUUUUCACCCGGGAAGUAAAGUUACCGUAACAACUAGACGUAAAAGGCUCAUGAUAUUUAUCCAGUAUUUGAGAUUAAAGAACUGAGUGAAUAUGAAACACUGGAGCUUUUCAAGCGACAUGCCUUCGGGCAAGCCAAUCCCAUUGAAAGUUACUUGGAGUCAUGAACCUCGACCAAAUUGAAGCAAUCUUUGAGAGUCAAUUGCUAAUGGUUUGGGACUUCUGACAAGUUGGGGGUUGUCAUAAGGCCAUGUGAGUGGCUGAGAUUAACGGUUCAGCCUUGGAAGGGAACCAGGGUAUGUUCUAAUCUCUCUUUCUCUCUCUCUCUCUCUCUCUCUCUCUCUCUCUCUCUCUCUCUCUCUCAAAAUACACACAAUCAAAAAUAAAUUUCAGUGAAAUUAAACUCUGUAUUCAUAGCAACUAAUGACUUCUCUUUGACACAGUUUCUUAGAAGAUUGAAAAUUCUUAAUCUCAGUCAUUCUCAUGGCCUUAGGACAACAUUUGUCCGAACUCCCUAAGACCAUCUCCAACCCUUGGACUAAAAGCUAAAUUUUUUAGUCCGGAAAAUUUAGCUUUUAGCCCAGAAACAACUUUUCUGCUCCAAUCCUUCUGGUCUAAAAUUUUAGCCCGGGAUUAUUAAAGAAUGAAUUUAGGCUAAUUUUUUUCUUAAAUUAACUUCUUUUUUUUUUAAAUAAUUAUGUAGACUAUCGUAAAUUAAUUUUAUAAACAUUUUAAUCUAAAAAUAUUUAAAUUCCGAUAAAUAUUGAAAAAUCACUAAAUUUUUCCACAAAGCAAGCCUUCAUUUUUUUUAAAUUAUUUUAGCCGUUGGAUUUAAAUUUGGGCCAUUAGAUCUUUUUUUUUUUACCAUUAGAUUUGAUUAUAUUCGAUCUCAGCCGUUGGAUUCAAUGUAUUUUAAAAUAACAUUUAAAAAAAAUUAAAUUUGAAUCUGGACCGUUGGAUCAACCAACGGUCCAAUAAUGUCAACCGUCCGAUGAACAAAAGAGUCGUUGGGCUUAUAAUUGCUUCCGACAGCAGCCCUGACAGUGGGUCCCACUCUGUCGGGCGCUGAAGGCUAACGCCCGCGUGGGGCGAGUGGUGUGAGUGACCGGGCCGAAAGUGGGCUGGGAAAGAGAGAGUCAACACGUUUGUAGGCUAUUUCUUGGGGGGAAUUUGGCCCUCAAUUGGCAUUUGGCUUUUAGCCCAAAGAUUUGGCUUGGGUUGGAUUGGAUUUUGGGGGAGGGGAAUUGGGGGGAGAAAUUUGGCAUUUAGCCCAAGGUUGGAGAUAGUCUAAAGGAUUGCAUUAAUUUGAUUGGAAACUUGGGGAAACUUAUUUUCUUGAAUCUAAAAGACUGCAAAAGUCUUAUGAAGCUUCCAAAAAGAAUGAACAUGUUGAGGUCUCUUGAGGAAUUUAUUCUUACUGGUUGCUCAAAGCUUGUUCUUCAUGACAGUGCCACGGUUAUUCAUUUACAUUCUACAUCUAGGGAUAUGAAUAAACUUAGACUGUUAUCAAUUAUAUCAUCGACACGAGAAAAUUUUCCAGAUGACCGGUACAACUGUUGAGCUGGAGUUCCCCUCCAAUUACAUGAUGCCACAUACAGCUGCAUAGAUUAGUUUUGUUUAAUAAAAAAUAAAAAGAAAAAGAAAAAACUUGUAGAAGGUGUAAAGUCACCCUCCCAGCGGCCGAUCCCACCAACCCAACGGCGACUCACUUCCAAUUGACGACGACGAAAAAGAUUUCAGCUUCCUCGAGGAACCCACCGACCACAGCGCCGCACCAUUCAGAUUCGGACAAUUACGACGAUUUCGAGAACUUCUCCGAUGUCGACGAAGACGCUUUCAGGAGAUGAUGGCAGGCUUGCCAGCCCCAAGACUCCUAAGUGGGUUUAUGGCAUUUUCAGUGAUGGGGAUGGGGUGGUGGCCAUUUUCGGUGAUGGGUUGAUGCAAUUUUGGGUUUUUGAUCAAAACCCAUCAAAAUUCACCACCACUUAAUCAAAAAUCCAAAUCAAACCCCAACAAAAACAAUCAAAUUCACAAGUUUUAUCAGAGAAAGAAAAAACAAAAAAAACAUGAACAGAUGAUGGAAAAGGGUGGAAUGGAUGCGGGUGGGGCGUAAUAGAAUGGAAAAGAGAGGAAUCUGUGUUCUUCAUUUAAUUAAUUUAAAUUAUAUUCUUAAAAUAAAUGUUAAUUGUCAUUAUAAAAGAUGAUGUCAACCUAGAUGUCAGAUGUUAAUAGGUGGAACACCGGGUCAGCAAAUGUACCCGUCACGUGGAAAAAUUUCUCCAUGGACACCAAUUAGGUAUUGGUGGAUGUGGGCAUGGCCAGGAAAGACUCUUCAAUCAACGAGUUUCUCUCUGGCAAGUGUACCCCCUUUUUUGGGAAGCUUAAGUUUGUCUUACUGCAACAUGUCAGGUUUCCAAUGAUCUGUGUACACUAUCUUUGUUGAAGCAUUUGAAUCUAAUUGGUAAUCCAAUUUUGUGCCUACCACAAAAAAUGAAGAGUCUUAUUAUGCUUGAGACUCUUUUGUUAGAUAAUUGCACGAACCUCAAAAUUCUUCCAGAGCUCCCACCAAGGUUGAAGAGGUUAGAAGCAAAAUAUUGUACUUCAUUGAAAAGAUUAAGAAAUUUACCAAACUUAUUCAGAUCAUUGGAAUCACUUUUUUGGGGUUGUGAGCAUUUAGUUGAAGUUGAAAGCUUGUUGAAUAUAAAACCGCUGAGAAAUGCUGACAUAGAAAUGACAAGAUAUAUGGGCCUGUGCAGUUUGAAAUCCAUAUCAAGCACUGGUGUCGAAAGAUCUCCAUCUAGCCAAAAUAAUGUUGUUGCUGGAGAUGUGUCAAUGUCAGCAUAAGAGUACCAAAUGUGGACAGGAAAAUACUUUCUCAGUAAUCAUAGGCACCGUACUCAUCAGGCUCAGGUUCAAUGGUUCACAACUUAUUCAAGGCCCAAGGACCAUUGGAAAAUAUUGCGAGAGGAUGUCCAGCAGAUUCCCCAUCUGCUUCUCGUAAUCUGUUUUUGGCGAAAAUGAAGAGAAACAUCCUCAGUUCUUUGUCAACAUCACAUCAGUCAUUUCAUUUAUGGUUGGAAAGAAAGACCAGCAUCAUUUUCCUUGGUGAGUAUCGUCGUUUUUGUUCUUUCUUGUUCUCGUUCUGAGUAUAUACUCAUGGCUUUGUUGGAUUUGUUGCGCUUUUUGCUUAUUGUCAUAAAGAGCAAUCAAGGAAAAAAAACCGGAACAGUCUGCAUGAGUUUGUUGGAAAUUAUAUAUUAUAGUAUAAAAUAUUGUAAUAUAUAAUUUUAAUAAUUGAAUGAAAAAAUAGUGUUAACCAUAUUUCUUAGAAAUGUUAUGUUAUUUAGGUGCAUUCCCUUGUUAAAUAAUGUAUACUUAUAGAUGAAAAGUUACAUCUCCUAACAAGAAGUACUUGGGUUCUAUUUAAACUCAUGAAACCAUUAUCAUUAAAUAUAGAAAAUUAGAGUUAAUUUUUACUCUUGAGAAAUAGGGUUUCCCCACUUUGUUUCUCUCAUGCUUUGUGUGUCAAAUUCCAAGUCGUGUCUUGAGAGUACGGAAUAUAUAAAGUUCGUCAGAGUUCAAAGAUUGAAGUGUUUUGACUUCGGAUUAUAGAUUGUUGAAUCCUGAGAGAUAGACACCUACCGAACUACCAAACUACAAGCACAAGAGUAUGAGCGAUAUUCUAUCUUUAGGACAUUACAUUCAUGAAAGCCUCAAUCUCCAGGUUUAUCAGUUUUUCUAACUUUAUCUUUAGUUGUUUAUAUUAAUCUCAUACAUAAUUGAUGUCGUGAAUUUCUAUGUGAUUAUUAUUAUUAUUAGAAUUCUUGUAUUAUUUUCAUAUUUUCUAAUACUGUUCCAACAGAGUUUGCAUAUGAAGUUUUAAACCCCCUAUAGAGCAAAGCCAACUUGAGCGUAACAGCAGUGGGGCAACAUAUGUUUCUGAAAAUCCUACAGUUAGUUUCCCUCCAAAACUCCUUACAAACGAAUCUUGAGCACCUGCAUUGCCUAAUAAUUGUUUUAGCUACCAUGUUAACAGAAGCAAUAACUGUAAACGGACUAUAACAGUUGAGAAAUAUUUAAGUACCAAAAAGAGUCAGCUAUAUCAGAAAUAAUUAUGCUAGAGUUGAGUCGUUUAACUUCUCAUAUGUUAUGGCUUAGUCCUUUUAUGGCGGACUUUAACUCCGUUUUUCUAUAUUUUCAGAGAAAGUCCGCAAAACUUAAAUCCUAUUGUUCUUUUUUGGCCUUUUUCUAAUAUUUUUCUGCCUUUUUCUACUAUAGUACUACUCCAGACAAUAAUCCUAGUGGCCCAAAAUUAUAUCCUAACUUUAAAUCCCAAUUAAGGUGAUAUAAUUGGUUUUUUAUGUUUAUGCUCACUAGAAACCUCAUUGAUCUACAACGAACAAAUUGGUGCCUGUAGUAUUUGUGAUGUUCUAGAUCACUCAUUUGAGCAAUACAUGUGAACCAAAUGUGGGUAGCAGCUCAGGUUCAUGCUUUCUUAAUUUUUGCACGACUAGCAGCAGCUGGUGAGAAAAAUAUUAGAAAAAUGCCAAAUUAACUUGGGGAUGACCUAACGAGGGACCUGAGAUACUCAAGAACCCGUACCACACUUUUUCAUCUUUUUCUUUUUCUCUCUUUUUCCUUUUUGUUUUAGUCAUAUCUUUUUCUUUGCAUGCGGACCUCAUCGAAAUCAAACAAAAAUAAGAAAAAUUAAACUCAUCAUUAACUUCCAGACGAAACUUUAGACCAAGUGGCGUGAGAUUUGUCCAUGAUUCGGGUGGGGGUAGGUGGGCUGGGGUCAGUUCUCAUUAUUUACUCACACCUACACAUCUGUGCAUCCACCCCAAUUUAGAUGUUUUGGGAUCUUGGACUAGCAAUAUUUUUCAAAUAACAGAGAGGAGAUUGGAGAGAGAUGGGAGAAGGAGCGAGAGAGAAUAGUACGGUUACAUUUUAGAAUUUUUAUGACAUAAAAUACUAAUAAUGAUAAAAGUUAACUAGAGUUAUGUGAGAGGACAUAUAUCAAGCUAAAAGUGUGUGGAUAGCAUACAUCAGGAUAAGUUCGAGGCAUUUUUACUCACUGCUCUCAAGUAAUGGUGAUGGUCACAAUAUUUUUAUUACAGUUUGAUAAGUUUAAUUUUUGAAAUUUAUGUCUUCCACAGCAGAAACAGAUUACAAAUAACAAACAUACGAACAAACGGAUUACAAAUUAUUGAAUAUAUUUGACUAACAAAACAACAAAGAAACAGGAUUGUCGAGAUGACUACACUCAACUACAUACCAACUUAUUAUCCAUCUAAACAAACUACAUUUGUGGGGAGCAAAAUCUAAGAAACCCUAAUUCAAAUAGGAUAAGCCUAAAUCAUAAACUAACCAGCAAAACCAAAUAAUCAAAUAAUUAAUUUUUCAACACUCGUCAAAUUCAAAAGGAUAUAUGACAUGAGUUUGCCAACAAGUAAAUUUUAAUUUAGACAUAAUGAUGUUGAGAGUAUAAAAAGAAGGUAAAUGAGUGCUCACCGUCACUAGACAAAUAAGAUUUUCAUAUUUCAAUUACAGCAAUGAAUAAACAAAAACAACACUUUCACUCGAAGCUCCCAAACAAGCCAAUAACUCGCGUCGGCCUCAAAGACUUCACAAAACACAAACGUGUGGGCCAAAACCUCAACCAAUUUCCAAUUUUUUCUUUUCCGUGUGGACCUCAAACAUACCACCACUUUUUCUUCUUUUUCUUUUUCUAUCUUUUUUCCUUUUCUUUUUCCCCAUCUUUUCCUCACCCUCAUAUACCAAAAAGGAGAAGAAAAGAGAAAGCAAAAGAUUCGUCCUUCUUCUUCAGCUGCUCUGGUAGCAUCUCCCACCUCCUCUUCUUCAUCAACUCUUAAGACCUACGCCUGUUCAGAUCCUUGAAAAUUUGAGCAUGGUGGAGAGGAACUAUAGUUAUCAACUUAAGGUUGUGAGUGAGCAAAAUUUGAUUUGUGAAAUCGUCCAUUUCACAGUGUCUUU